UACGGAGGGGGCUAGCGUUGUUCGGAAUUACUGGGCGUAAAGCGCACGUAGGCGGAUCGUUAAGUCAGGGGUGAAAUCCUGGAGCUCAACUCCAGAACUGCCUUUGAUACUGGCGAUCUUGAGUUCGGGAGAGGUGAGUGGAACUGCGAGUGUAGAGGUGAAAUUCGUAGAUAUUCGCAAGAACACCAGUGGCGAAGGCGGCUCACUGGCCCGAUACUGACGCUGAGGUGCGAAAGCGUGGGGAGCAAACAGG
rnacentral:rRNA from 1 species